rnacentral:rRNA from 1 species
UACGUAGGGUGCAAGCGUUGUCCGGAAUUAUUGGGCGUAAAGCGUCCGCAGGUGGCAGUUCAAGUCUGCUGUCAAAGACCGGGGCUCAACCUCGGAAAGGCAGUGGAAACUGGACAGCUAGAGUAUGGUAGGGGCAGAGGGAAUUCCUGGUGUAGCGGUGAAAUGCGUAGAGAUCAGGAAGAACAUCGGUGGCGAAGGCGCUCUGCUGGACCAUAACUGACACUCAGGGACGAAAGCUAGGGGAGCGAAUGGG